rnacentral:lncRNA from 1 species
AGUAGUGUUUAACUGGUGGUGGUGGAGAUUUGUAAACGUAGUGUUUCUUUGGUGGGGGUGGGGAAUGGUAAACUGGGGGAGGAGAGUAGUGCUUAACCGGUGGUGGUGGAGAUUUGUAAACGUAGUGUUUCUUUGGUGGGGGUGGAGAAUGGUAAACUGGAGGGGGAGAAUAGUGCUUCACCGGAGGAGGAGGAGACUUGUAAACGUAAUGUUUCUUGGGUGGGGGUGGAGAGUGAUAAACCGGUGGGGGAGAGUAGUGCUUAACCGGAGGAGGUGGUGAUUUGUAGACGUAGUGUUUCUUUGGUGGUGGUGGGGAAUGGUAAACUGGGGGAGGAGAGUAAUGUUUGACCGGAGGAGGAGGAGAUUUGUAGACGUAGUGUUUCUUUGGUGGUGGUGGAGAAUGGUAAACUGGAGGGGGAGAGUAGUGCUUAACCGGAGGAGGAGGUGAUUUGUACACGUAGUGUUUCUUGGGUGGUGGUGGAGAGUGAUAAACCGGUGGGGGAGAGUAGUGUUUGACUGGAGGAGGAGGUGACUUGUACACGUAGUGUUUCUUUGGUGGGGGUGGAGAGUGAUAAACUGGUGGGGGAGAGUAGUGUUUAACCGGAGGAGGGGGAGACUUGUACACGUAGUGUUUCUUGGGUGGGGGUGGAGAAUGGUAAACCGGUGGAGGUGAGUAGUGUUUAACCGGUGGAG